UAUUCAUAAUGAUAUUAAAAUUAUUUUUUUUAUUAAAAUUUCAUAACUAUACAUAACCAAAAGGCCUAUAGAAAUAAUAUUCAAUAAAAAGGAAGGACAAAAGUGACAUUCACUUAGAACAAUUACAUUAGACUUGAAUACAAGCUUAAUAGUCUCUGACACAAGAACUGAAACUGAUCUUUCAUCUCCAACAUUAAGGAACCUUUCGCCCUCUUCAAAUCUCCUACUGACC
rnacentral:lncRNA from 1 species